AUUGAACGCUGGCGGCAGGCCUAACACAUGCAAGUCGAGCGAGCGGCGGACGGGUGAGUAAUGUCUGGGAAACUGCCUGAUGGAUGGGGAUAACUCCUGGAACCGGUAGCUAAUACCGCAUACCAUCAGAUGUGCCCAGAUGGGAUUCGCUAGUAGGUGGGGUAAUGGCUCACCUAGGCGACGAGCCCUAGCUGGUCUGAGAGGAUGACCAGCCACACUGGAACUGAGACACGGUCCAGACUCCUACGGGAGGCAGCAGUGGGGAAUAUUGCACAAUGGGCGCAAGCCUGAUGCAGCCAUGCCGCGUGUAUGAAGAAGGCCGUCGGGUGGUAAAGCACUGUCAGCGGGGAGGCGUUACCCGCAGAAGAAGCACCGGCUAACUCCGUGCCAGCAGCCGCGGUAAUAC
rnacentral:rRNA from 1 species